AGCAGCUGGAGCUUUUGCUGCACCCGACCUCAGGCCCCGGGGACUGGGCUGGCCCCCAGGGAGCAGAGAGUGGGCCAUAUUUUGGUACAACCCACAGAAAGUCGCAGUGUUUGGCUGCAAGGAAAGAGCGGGGAGGGAGGUUCCCGGGUUUUUAAUUUUUUUUUUUUUUUCCAUCUUGAAACUGGCAGCAUUUCUGAUAUGAUUGCGGGGGAUUUCCACCAACCAAAUUAAAGAAAAUUCAGUUUUAGCGUUAGCUGCAAGGAGAGAGGAGUUUUGCAACCUUUGUCAUUUAUGAAAUACUGGCAGUGGCACAGAGAGAAUGUCUGCCUCCCUCCCAACGAUUCAGACUCCUGCCAUCCUGCAGCCGGUGGUCAAUUACCACACGCCUCUGCCAUCAGACAGGGUGGUGGUCAAUUACUGCAUCCCUCCACCAUCAGACCGGUGGGCACUCCCUGAUCCUCCUGGAGCGCUUCCCCCUGGACCUGCCCGACAACAGCUUUGCCGGGAAACGUGUCUGUCCCCUGGGGAGUGGCUGAAAGAGGUCCCACCGUAAGGAAACAUUUGGUGAGGCCCCACGCCCCAGCAUCAGACCCACAGUAGCAGCUGGCUUCUGGGAGGGAGGGAACUGCUCUCUAAACAAAAAUGGUUUUGAAAAAUAAGCCAGCCAAAGGGGAACUGCUUCAUGAGUUACACAUUCACUUCUCCCUUUAACUGUGCAGUUGAAGAAAAAACAAGGUGAAGCAGGAACUGACCCCACGUUCACAUCCCCUUGAACUCUCUGGACACAGCAGCACUGGGAGUACUGGCUAACCAGGCCUGAGAUUUCAAGGGAAGUGCAGAGAAGGAAGCCUAAAUAAAAACAGGAAACCCGAUUUUAAAAAAGAAGAAGCCUCAUUCUGGCUGAAUUACGGGAAAACAACAGGUCCUCCUGCCGCCUGUCUGCACCUCCCGCCCUCCCUCCGCCCCCAAAUCCGCACCCCGUCUGCGGCCUGAGGGGCAUCAUCCCAGGUGUGUCUGUAAAGCUGCAUCUUGCCCGUCUUCAAAACAAGCGUUCUUUUUAUACAAAGGAAAACAACUAAAUAAAGGUCCUAAAGCCCACGCCUUCACAUUCACACACCAAAGAAUUUCCACGGUGGCCAGAGGAAGGCUGGAGGGCGGGAGACGGAGGCGGUGGCUGCAGCUCUUGGCGCCCGGGGAGUCCCCCCAUCCCACCCUGCCCCGCCGCCCGCCGAGAGCGCAGUAGCUGGGCGCCAGGGAGGGUACAGGAGGCCUGGGAGACGAGACUGGAGCGCAGAGUUCCACGGGCUCGGCCCUGGGGGGAAAGCUGUGGUCUCCUCGCUUGGGGGAGUCAAGACCAUGGGGGGGGGGGGGAGUCGCCAGAUUACAAAAGUGGCUUAGAAAUCCUUCUAGGGCGCGGUGGGGGAAGAGUCAAGUCAAUUGCUUACACAAACAAUGACUUAAAGGACCCUCCCCCCUCCGGUGUGGGAGCUAAAGCCCCUGUUUGGUCUCCUUGGAGAGAUGUGGAAACUGAGGCCUGGAGAGGGGCUGUUUCUACCCAAGUGAUCCGCCGGCCUCCCAGCGCCAGCGCGGGCCCAGCUCUGGCUGCAGCAAAGGAAGGAGCAGAGCCCUCGGUUUCCAGCCAGGAAAGGGCAAGCGUAGGUUACUGAAGGCUUCCCGUUUUCUGAGGUUUCCAAACACCUGUCCCAGCCCUGCUUUUACCAGUCGGCAAUUUAAACAAUUUUGCUCCCUGCUUUCCAGAGGUCGGUGUAAGAAGCCGACGCGUGGGGCCUGCUGUGGAUUUGGGGUCUCCUUCUCUCUCUGCCCCCUCCCCUGCUCGUGCUCUCUCUCUCUCUCUCUCAAAAAUGAAUUUGUUUU